UGUGGAGGGGGGGGGCGGGAAUUGCACAAAAUUGAAAAUGCUCAAAAUUGGAUCAUCUUCCAAUUUACUGUCCAUGGGAAAUUGGGUCCUGUUUUUGCACAAUAUUCCCAUUUAAAAUGGGGCUGCUUUUGAGCAGUUUCAUAGAAUUUUGGAAGCCUAAAAUUGUAAGGGAAUAAAAUUGCAGAAAUUUUCAUCUAAUUCUAGUUGAUGCCUUAUGAUCCAGAAUUCCAAAAUCUCUUUAUUUGUAGACAUUCCCAGUUCAAUAUAUGGUCCAGAGUUAUGGUUUUAUGUAAAAAAAAACAAAAACAACCACCUUAAUAGCUACUGCUCCUCCUGUAUCCUUUAACCAAAUGCUACUUUUGCCAGCCAUUGUUUUAUUAUUGAUCUUACUUCAUACACAUAAGCCUCCCUGGGUACUUUACAUAGAGUGUUUUUUCUAACUACCUAGUUUACAGGGAACUAGGUGGGAAUUACAAAUCAGAACAUUACAAAGCUUUAUAUAAUGAGGUUAAAUGGUGUGACAUUUUGCUUUCUGAUUUGUGUUUGUCUUGAAUAUCCAUGAUAUGACCAGAUGGUACAGCUAGAUUGCUUAAAACAGCAAAUUUAUGGGAUGUGCAGUUGUAACAAAGGAUGCAACUGUGUGUGUAUGUGUUAGAAACGGCUGUUAACCCUCAUGGUAGUUAAGUAUGUUCUCUGGGUGGACUGUUAGGCCUAGUAUACAGCAUGAUCUUGGGAAACCACUAACAAAUGUAACCAUAGGCCUGGUCUACACUUAAAAAUUAGAUUGACCUAGCUACAUUGCUCAAGACUGUGAACAGUUUCCCACCCUGAGUGCUUUUUUGCCUAACCUGCAGUAUAGAUGCAGCUAGGUCGAGAGACAAGUUCUUCUGGCAGCCUAACACCGCCUCUCAGGUGGCUUAACUACAUUGAUGGAAAAAUCCCUUCCGUCAAUGUAUGUAGUAUAGACAUACUCAUAGUCUUUGCUCUACAGGGUGACCAGUUUCUUUGCCUGCAGUAGAUUGGACCCUAAAAAUUCCAAGCAUAGAUCCCAAGUACAAAAUUGUUCAUCAGUUGCCAUUUGUGCUUGUAAAUGACACGCUUUUGGUUUUGUCCAUGAACGGUUUUGAAAAUGCAAAGCAUCCCAGAAGCUGUAGUGUGUAUUCUCAGCACAUGCAUAAUUUGACCGUUGUGUUUUUUUUGUAGACGUUCAAGCAGACUCCCUCUCCUUUAUAUGGAGAAGGUAGUCAGCCAUUUCUCAAUCUUCUGCCUCACUGAUUUGUCACCUGAAGUUACCAGAAAUUCUUUUGUUGUUCCUUUUUUGAAUAUAAUGUAAACGUGAAGGUCUGUGUAAUCUUUAGCAAGAAAAAAUAUGCUCCAAGUUUCCCUUUUCUCCUGUGUUCUGGUUUCUCUCCUGGGUACUGGAGUCAGGGGGAAUAUGCUUCUGGCUCCAGAAAUCUGCUUUUGGUUCAAUGGCAGAGUUUGUUGAGGAACUCAUAUCAAUUAGGUAAUUGGUUUGAUCAUUUCAAUAAACUUGUUUAAACUUUUGCUUACA
ensembl:lncRNA